GUUUUUGUGUUAAGUGUUUGGUACACAAUUUAUGCACUGUGUCCCUUUGAUCAUGAGCAGAUAGCCCUAAUGCUUUCAGGAAUGGGAGGAGCAUCAUUUGAUGUUUUUAGAAUGACUAAUUCUCGAUGGAAAAAGAGACAAUCGAAAAUCUUGUCAAGAGAUGCCAAGAUCAACUUUCAAUGUGGAGCUUGAUGCUGUCAAUACAACUUAGUUAUCCAUUAAUAUUUUAGAUUAUCCUAUCUUUAAGUGCUAAGUGUAAUUUGUGACAUCAGUUAAUAAAGGAGAUCCAUGUAACAUUGGGAUGGCCAUCUU